ACGGGUGUAGCUCAGUGGUAGAGUGCUUGCCUAAGAUGUGUGAGGUCCUAGGUUUGAUUCCCAGCACCUGGA
rnacentral:tRNA from 1 species